rnacentral:lncRNA from 1 species
GCUCUUUCCACAACUGGAAUGGAAGAUCAUGAUAUUUUCUCAUAGUAAUCCUCCCCUGCCAGGUGCAAAGCGACAUAUUUACAAUGUUGUGAUCACAGUUCCAUGACCAUGAAACAAGAGGAAAAGAAAGGAUCAAGAACAGAUUCCGGAAAGAAUUGAACUCAUCUACCAAAACCAUGGGACCAGCAAUAUGGUGUGUCCACAGAAGCAUCCAAAUUCAAAUGAAAAACUCUAGGUUUCUGGAGAAAAGAACAGAGGUGCCACUCAAUGGCUGGGCUUUUUUUAAAGCAUUUGAGAUAUUACAUUAAAUCAUGGUUUCUGAAAAGUAUAUCUCGUCUUAAUCUCCUGAAUUCUCACAUUCAGAGAGAGGACAGGAAGUCGGGCAAUGUCUUAUGUGUCUUAUAACUAGCCACAGAUUUUGACUGUAGCCCCAAUUUCAGGCUCUUGAAGGUCCCCUAUGGCUAUCCCAGUCCUGAGUACUUCCAGUGCUCUGGUAUCCACAGUUGUCUAAGGACAUCCACCAUGUGAUUGACAAGAGCUGACUCCUGAGACCUAUUGCUUUUUUAAUGGUUUAAAUAUGAGGGUCCCCUGAAAACUCAUGUGUGAGGCAAUGAAAGAAUGUUCAGAAAUUAAAUGAUCAUAUUGUGAGAACUGUAACAUAAUCAUUGGAUUAAUUCACUGAUAUGGAUUAACUGGGUGGCAACUUGUAGGCAGGUAAAGUAUGGCUGGAGGAAGUAGGUGAUUGGAGGCUUGCCUUUGGGGUUUAUAUUUUGUCCCUGGUGAGCAGACUAUAGAUCUCUCUCUCUCUCUCUCUCUCUCUCUCUCUCUCUCUCUCUCUCUCUCUCUCUGCCAUGUACUGAGCUGCUUUUUUUUUCCUGUCACACCCUUUCAUCAUGAUAUUCUUCCUCACCUUGGGACCCAGAGUAAUGGAGUUGGCUGACCAUGGACUGAACAUCUGAAACUAUGAGCUAAAAUAAAUGUUUCCUUCUUUAAGUUGCUUCCAUUGGGUAUUUUGGUCACAGCAAUGCCAAAAGCUAAUAUAAACAGCUAUUCAGCUAGAUCUUUCUGAGGUUGAAAUUUCAACAUACAAAGUAGGCAGCAAGUAGACAGCACAGGUUCCUGAGUCAGAAAUGUCCUGGUUUGGAUCCAAGGUGAACUUAGGGAGUUAUUUAAUCUUGAUUUGCAGGUGUCUCAUCUGUUAAUUGAGGAAAAUACUUUUCUCAUGUGGUGUAAAGAUUAAAUGAGGUGAUAUGCAAAAAGCACUUAACAAAUCCCCCCAUAUAUUAAGUGCUGGAUAAAGAAGGGUAAUUAGCAUUAUGUUUUUACUUCUGGAGGAGAUCUUAAGGCCUUAGAGGUACAAUGGGGACCUUGAAUGAUUUCAGAGAUACUGCUUAGUGCAUAGGGCUGAUAUCAAGAUCUGUUAGCCACCUGGUUGUGUGGGCUUUGGGGAUAAACCAACAGGGGCACAUAUAGAUUUCCUCAUUUGAUACCCAAAAGAAUCCUGAGAUUUGAGGGGAAAGGGCCUUUUUUUCAUGCUAUGUAAAAGAAUCAAUCUGAGAUAGGUUAGGGAACUUGCCAACAGGGCCACAAGUCAUUAAAGCCAAAUUAGGACACAAACAGUGGUCUGUGCAGAAGAAGUUUAUUCUAGUUUUCUUACCACAUCAUGCAGCCAUGAUUAUACAUGCAGCUUAUUGCCACUACCUUGUUUGUGUUGAUCCCAUCCCCAUAUAUUGUGAGUUCCUUUUGGAUAAUGAUCAUGUAAACAUUUCUGUAUCUCUUAUAAUACCCAACUCAGUACCUUGCACAUGUGGGGAUUCCUAGAUUUUUCUAAUGAAUGGCUUUGCAUCCCAUCUAUUCUAUCUUAGAUUUCUUCUCUUUCCCCAUAUGAUUUUUCCCUAGCUAUGGGAUACCAAAGGGGCCCUGGGUAUGCUGAGGCCUGGUGGCUCUAGCCUUAGUGAGUCCAUAAAGGCAGGGUGAAGAGGACCUGCAUUGUGGGGCAGCCAGGUCUCAAUGCCUACUUCUGCUUCCCCAGACUGGGAGAACAAUGCCCAAGUACCCAGCAUAAUUUUCUCUUCCUUUGCUCUAUUUAGUGGAAGAAAGGCUUUCUGGAAUUACCAGAAUUCCUUUUGCUCUAGUUUCUUAGCCUGACAUUAAGUGGGUGAAUGGCUAUCACUGAGGAAAAAUAGCGCUUGCAGCAAUGAGUGUCUGAGUCUCAGUUCUCCUGAGACACCCUCAGCAGGGUGCCCCGAUUAAGUAAUCAGAUAACAUUUGGAUGAGCUCUGAACUUUUUUACAUGUUUAUCCAGACCUCUGAACUAUUAGAUCUUUGCUUAUUACAACUUACCAUGAAAAAAAAAAGAAA